rnacentral:rRNA from 1 species
UACAGAGGGGGCAAGCGUUGUUCGGAAUUACUGGGCGUAAAGGGCGCGUAGGCGGCCUGCUAAGUCGAACGUGAAAUCCCCGGGCUCAACCCGGGAACUGCGCCCGAUACUGGAAGGCUAGAAUCCGGGAGAGGGAUGCGGAAUUCCAGGUGUAGCGGUGAAAUGCGUAGAUAUCUGGAGGAACACCGGUGGCGAAGGCGGCAUCCUGGACCGGUAUUGACGCUGAGGCGCGAAAGCCAGGGGAGCAAACGGG